AGCAGGGGUGGUUUUCUUUGUGUGCUGGUUUUUGUUCAUUUUGCAGUCCAGUGAAGGCAAAGCUCAGCCUGGAAGCCUUAUUUUUAGUCACAACUUCCUCUCUAGCUCACUUCUCUACAGCACUAGCAAUGGAGAUGGAUAGCAUUUAUACUGGGCUGCAGAAUCCCUCGGAGGACGUCUACUCCACAGUAAACACACCCCAGGGCAAGAGAGCAGGAGCAGAACAGGAUUACCCCACCCCGCCUGUGAGUGCUGCUGGCAAAGCCUCUUCAUACAGACGACCUGUACUGGUCCUCCUCAUCCUGUGCUGUCUCUUACUGGCUGCCAUCAUCUCCCU